rnacentral:precursor_RNA from 1 species
UAAUCCCAACUACUCGGGAGGCUGAGGCAGGAGAAUCGCUUGAACCCGGGAGGUGGAGGUUACU